UGACGAAGGGGGCUAGCGUUGCUCGGAAUGACUGGGCGUAAAGGGCGCGUAGGCGGCUUGCACAGUCAGGCGUGAAAUUCCUGGGCUCAACCUGGGGACUGCGCUUGAGACGUGUGGGCUUGAGUGGGGAAGAGGGUCGUGGAAUUCCCAGUGUAGAGGUGAAAUUCGUAGAUAUCUGGAGGAACACCGGUGGCGAAGGCGGCAUCCUGGACCGGCAUUGACGCUGAGGCGCGAAAGCCAGGGGAGCAAACGGG
rnacentral:rRNA from 1 species